UUCUUAACUUGAGUACAAAUACCAAAAGCUUUCUGAAGGAAUUAAAAUCAGAAGCUCAUAAAAUAUAUGGCAGUCUGAAACUCCCUUGCAAGUAUCUAGAUGCAGAAGAGUUGGUGAGAUGAUUACAUUCCAAUACUGAGCACACCUGAUCCUGAGAAAAGCUGAACUUGCAUCCUCUCCUGUUCCUGGCAGAAUUAGUGGAAGGUAUCCUGUUAUAUUUUGUGAUUGUGAGCUUCAACUGUAUUUCUCCAAAUUAACUUAACUGGCACUGAAGAC